ACGGAAGGCAGCAGUGGGGAAUAUUGGGCAAUGGGCGAAAGCCUGACCUAGCAACGCCGCGAGAAGGAAGAAGGCCUUCGGGUUGUAAACUUCUUUUAUCAGGGACGAAGAACGUGACGGUACCUGAUGAAUAAGCCACGGCUAACUACGUGCCAGCAGCCGCGGUAAUACGUAGGUGACAAGCGUUAUCCGGAUUUACUGGGUGUAAAGGGCGUGUAGGCGGUUUGGCAAGUCAGAAGUGAAAUUCCCGGGCUUAACUUGGGCGCUGCUUCUGAAACUGCUUUACUUGAGUACUGGAGAGGAUAGUGGAAUUCCUAGUGUAGCGGUAAAAUGCGCAGAUAUUAGGAGGAACACCGGUGGCGAAGGCGGCUAUCUGGACAGUAACUGACGCUGAGGCGCGAAAGCACGGGGAGCAAACAGGAUUAAAUACCCUGGUA
rnacentral:rRNA from 1 species